AUGAAGAGAUUGUUGAGGGGCUCUUCGAGCCAAAGCUCGAAGGAUAAGCAAAGUGAAGAAGAAGAGAGGCCCAAAUAUAAUCUGCCUCGUACCACGGAGGUUCGACCAUGUGAAUGGCCUUGUGAUGAUUUCUUAAGAGCAGCCGGGAUUUAUGAUGAUUUCUAUGAGUUGGCUGAGAAUGCAGGCCUCACCGCCUUCCUCUACGACCAACGCGAACAGUAUCUCUUACUCACCAAUACCUUUGUGCAAAACUUUCAUUUCCAUGCUAGAAGCUCACCACCUACGGUGGAAUUUUAUUUAUAUGAUGAGCAUAAGGAGAUGUCACUUCGUGAUUUUUGUCGGGUUUGUUUGAUCCCUUUUGAGGGCAGUGUAGAGGAACCACAUCGUGACGAUGUGGAUGGGUUUAUUGAUACCAUUGCUGUAGGGCAAAUGAGGAAGGUUUCCGACGCACGAAUUACUAGCAUACACUUUCCUGUUCUAUGUUACUUUGCUAUAUUUGCUAGUAGAUUGUUAAUUGGUCGCGGAAACUGUGGCAACCUUAGUGCCCCUGAUAUUGUUAUUUUGUGCCAUGCCUUAUUUCGUGAUGACACAUUUAGUAUGGGCGCUAUUGUUGCAAAGCGGUUAAAUCGUCACCGUACUAAGGGCCCCGUCCUUGGAGGCAUCUUCGCCUCGCGCCUCGCUACAUACUAUAACAUACCUAUUAGGCAUUAUGAGAAAGAACAAAAAAUUGCUACCUCCUGUUUAUCUAGAUUAUAA
rnacentral:rRNA from 1 species